GCCUGGCUGGCUCAGUCGGUAGAGCAUGUGACUCUUGGUCUUGGAAUCGUGAGUUUAGAUCCCAUGUUGGGCA
rnacentral:tRNA from 1 species